rnacentral:rRNA from 1 species
UACGAAGGGGGCUAGCGUUGUUCGGAUUUACUGGGCGUAAAGCGCACGUAGGCGGAUCUUUAAGUCAGAGGUGAAAUCCCAAGGCUCAACCUUGGAACUGCCUUUGAUACUGGGGAUCUUGAGUCCGGGAGAGGUGAGUGGAACUGCGAGUGUAGAGGUGAAAUUCGUAGAUAUUCGCAAGAACACCCGUGGCUAAGGCGGUUCUCUAGUACGGUACUGACGCUGAGACGCGAAAGCGUGGGGAGCGAACAGG